rnacentral:rRNA from 1 species
AUCAAAAACAUGUCUUUUUGAAAAUAAUUUAAAGUCUGGUCUGCUCAAUGAUUAAAUUAAAUAGCUGCAGAAUUUUAACUGUACUAAGGUAGCAUAAUAAAUUGUUUAUUAAUUGUAAACUAGUAUGAAUGAUUUAAUAAAAUAUUAACUGUUUCUAUAAAAUUUAUUUAGAAUUUAAUUUUUAAGUUAAAAAGCUUAAAUAUAUUUAAGGGACGAGAAGACCCUAUAGAUUUUUAUAUAAAUUUUAAAAUAUAAAGUUUAUUUUUUAUUUUAUUUAAAAAUUUAUAUUUAGAUGGGGUGUUUUAAAAAUUAAUAAAUUUUUUAAAUUUAUUAACAAAGUUAAUUGGUGAUAAUGAAUAAUUUUUUAUUUUACUAAAUAAAAAUACCUUAGGGAUAACAGCAUAAUAAUUUUUUUAAGAUCAUAUUUUAAAGAUUGAUUGUGACCUCGAUGUUG